GCGCUGCCAGCAGUGGAAGCCAGGCGCCCGCAGGACUCGCGGCCCGGGCCACGCCAGCGCCAUGUAUGCGGCCAAGUGGUUCCAAGGGGCGCCCUUUGGGGUGCAGAGCCACAGAUUUGAUGUGUCUGCUGUUUAUCCCAACCAGAAGAAAUACAGCACCUUCACAGAGACCCCGUACUCCACGCAUCAUUCUGUGGAAGUGUCCCACAUAGGACCUGGAACCUAUAGCUCCAAGGAGACCUGCUUCAGCAAAAAGAAGCUGAAGAAGGAGGUGGACACAGGCUGGGCUCUGGCCCAGCAAGCCAUCCGGCUGACCCAGCUGCCCCACUUCCGGUACCAGACCGUUGUGAGAGAGAGGAAGUUGCAGGAGCAAAAGCUGGGGCCUGGCUCUUACAACUUCAAAGACUUCUUACAACAGUUGCAGCAGAAGCCAGGCAGCAAGCGGGGGCUGCUUAGCUCUGGGGAGAUCCGCUUCCGUGGUCUCAUUGGGAACUAUUAUCCAGGCCCCGGGAAUUAUGGGGAGAAGGGCAACCCAUACACGCGGCUGGAGGAGAAUGCCUGGAACCGGUCCCAUUCCGAGGGCCUCAUGUGCAGGAUGUCAAACAAGUCACCACCUGAGGCUCCUCAGGGGAGUGGUUUAGGACCUGGCACCUACUCCUUCAAAACUGGCAUCGAGACCUACCUGGCACGAUCUACUGGCACCCGCGGCCCCUAUGACAUUUUCUCUGGUGACCGAAGCAAGCCCCUGCCUUUUGGACAUUACUCUGUGCAGAAAAAAAGGCCCAGGGAAUUGAUGAAUUACAAGAGCUUCGUGGAUGAACUUAACUCACGUCACAAUAAGAAGCAUGGAGUUUUUUCAGAAAUUCCCCGCGACCCGAAAACCCCUCCAGAGAGAAUUUACUGGUCCACCCUUAGCCAGUGCCCCCGAAAACUAAACACAUCUGGCCCUGGUUCAUGGCUUCCUCAAGAGACGGAGAUCAAACACGUCAACCGGCCGCCAUUCCUCGUGGCCUCUAAGCGUUCAGGUGUAAAGACCAACCAGAUAGUUUUGGGAAGCUGGAACCCAGUAGGGGUGGGCCGCUACCUCAAUACCACGCGGUUGGAGAACAAGGACACACGGCAGCGAUACCGGUCCCUGUACAUGGGUGAACCCAAGCGCUACCUCUCAGAUCUGAACCGGGACAGGAUCAUGCAGGAAAGGAUCACACCUUUUACAAAGGGCAGGUGCCCUCCAACUGUGGAUUAUAAUUCAAAUCCUACUCCUUAAAGCCACGUGGGAAGAACAGCUAUGGUGACUGGAGGGCCCAAAGCUUGAAGACAGAUGGGUGUCUUACAGAGAGCAGUUGCUUUCUCAACCGUGUCAGAGAGCAGUCCUGGAAGAAGUCAGACCAUCUUUAUUCACGAACAGCAACAUCAGCUCCGUAAAGUCCUCUUGAAUCUUCCAAAAAGCUAUGAGGUCUGAGAAGUCAUUUUUGUAACAUUACAACAAAUAAGAUCAAUCUAGCCAAACUGUUUUCAUAUAUAGCAACACACAACAAAAAAGUUGGAAAUUUAAAAUACAACUUAUAUGGCGUGAAAAACUAUGAAACACUUAUUUCGAAUUUUGGCAAAAGAGAUAACAAAGUCUGUACACGAAAAGCAAAGCAAUUAUCACUGCGGGGACAUUAAAGAAGACAGAAAGGGAGAGAUACCACAUUCAUGGGCCACAAUAUUUGAUAUGGGUGUUAAGCUGUUUUCCCCAAAUUAAUCUAUGGAUUGAAUGCAAUGCUAAUCAAAACCUCAGUGAUCUUUCUGUAAAAGUUGACCAGCUGGAGCCGGGGGUGUUGCCUAGGGAGGCCCUUGGUCUGAUCUCCAGCACUGCCCAAAACAAAUACCUGCAGACUGACAAGCUGAUAGCAAAACUUAUACAGAAAUACAAAAGACAUAAAAUAUCCAAAAUAAUUUAGAAAAAGAACAACGCUGUAGGACCAACCUUAUCUUAUUUCUAGACUCAUCAUCACAAAGCUAUAGGAACAAGACAGUGGAAUUGGUGCCAAGAUAGAUGAAAGGAACAGAGCAGAGAAUCCAGGAACAGGAGAUAUGGACAGCUGCACUUCAACAGUGGUGCAAAGUCAACUGGGGGUGGGGUGGGGAUCUUCUCACCAAGUGGUGCUAGAACCAUUGCAUACUAAUCUGCAAAAAAGUGAACUGUGAUCAGCAAGUCCCCUCAUGGACAGAAACUAACUCCGUCUGUGAUACUCAGAAGUACAGUAUAUACUUGAUUUUCCUCUUAUUUUAUGACUCACAGCUCCUAAAACCCUGGGAACCUCCAGAGCGAUGUCUUUUACAUGCUAGUUAGGUGACUGGUCACUGAGGACCCUUAGAUAGCUUUAGGGUGGAGAAUCGUCACCAGAAAGACCCAGGCCUGUUUAAAGAGUUGAAACCUUCAAUCCCACACCCCUGAGGAGGGGAAAGAGGCUGAAGGUUGAGUUGAUCACUAAUGGCCAAGGAUGCAGCAAUCAUGCCUAGUAAUGACCCCUCAUAAAACCCCAGACAGGCUAGGUGUGGAGAGCUUCUAGAUAGCCGGACCCAUGGAAGACACCCAGAGAGAGCAGAGAGGCUCCCCCUCUUUCCCACAUGCCCUGCCCUCCUCAUCUCUUCCAUCUGGACUGUUGAUCUGCACCCUUCAUAAUGUUCUUUAUAAUAUAUGGGUAAAUAUAUGAAAAGCAUUUCCCUGAGGGCUGUGAGCCAUCCUAGCAAGGCAACUGAUCCCAGGAUCCCACACAUCUGGCAUCAGAAGUGUUGAGUGGUGUGUGAGAGGAGGAAUGAGCUGUUUUCCCCUCAGGAUCACAGACCUAAAUUUAAGACCUAAGCUGUGAAAAUUCUAGAAGAAAACACAGGAGGAAAACCUUUGGACAUUAUGUGAGGCAAAAAGUUCUGAGAUGCAGAUUUAACUAUUUAAAAAAAAAUAAAUCAUACAUAUUGUUAAAUUGGACUUAAUUGAAAUUUUUUUUUUUGUUCUUUCAAAGGUGCUAUUAAAAGAAUGAUGUGUCACAGGUUUGGAGAAAAUAUUUGCAAAUCAUAUCUGAUAAAGGACUUAUAUUAUUCAGAAUAU